AUGGUGCAUGUACAAGAUUUCGGUUUCUUCCCCUUACAUCCCUUUUUCCGAUUUCUCUUGGCUACUUCUGGUAUUUUGGUUUGUUCUACCCUGUGUGCGACUGUUGUUUAUGGUUGUUCUAGCUUUUGGAAGGUUAACCAAUUACAUUUAGCAAGGCUUUUGGUCCUCACGAGGAGGCGAAAGAGAAGAAAAUGUUCUGUGAAAUUCUGCAGGAAAAAAAUACGUAGACACAAACAUUGCGUUAAAACCUUUAUGCUUCUGCAGGAAAAUAGGCCGUUGCAUCUGAAACUAAGAAAGCAGCUAGAGGGCAGAGGGGUGAUGGAAGACAAUGAACCUAGGUUUGAGCUGGAUUGA
rnacentral:rRNA from 1 species